GAUGAACGCUAGCUACAGGCUUAACACAUGCAAGUCGAGGGGCAGCAUGGUCUUAGCUUGCUAAGGCCGAUGGCGACCGGCGCACGGGUGAGUAACACGUAUCCAACCUGCCGUCUACUCUUGGACAGCCUUCUGAAAGGAAGAUUAAUACAAGAUGGCAUCAUGAGUCCGCAUGUUCACAUGAUUAAAGGUAUUCCGGUAGACGAUGGGGAUGCGUUCCAUUAGAUAGUAGGCGGGGUAACGGCCCACCUAGUCUUCGAUGGAUAGGGGUUCUGAGAGGAAGGUCCCCCACAUUGGAACUGAGACACGGUCCAAACUCCUACGGGAGGCAGCAGUGAGGAAUAUUGGUCAAUGGGCGAGAGCCUGAACCAGCCAAGUAGCGUGAAGGAUGACUGCCCUAUGGGUUGUAAACUUCUUUUAUAAAGGAAUAAAGUCGGGUAUGGAUACCCGUUUGCAUGUACUUUAUGAAUAAGGAUCGGCUAACUCCGUGCCAGCAGCCGCGGUAAUACGGAGGAUCCGAGCGUUAUCCGGAUUUAUUGGGUUUAAAGGGAGCGUAGAUGGAUGUUUAAGUCAGUUGUGAAAGUUUGCGGCUCAACCGUAAAAUUGCAGUUGAUACUGGAUAUCUUGAGUGCAGUUGAGGCAGGCGGAAUUCGUGGUGUAGCGGUGAAAUGCUUAGAUAUCACGAAGAACUCCGAUUGCGAAGGCAGCCUGCUAAGCUGCAACUGACAUUGAGGCUCGAAAGUGUGGGUAUCAAACAGGAUUAGAUACCCUGGUAGUCCACACGGUAAACGAUGAAUACUCGCUGUUUGCGAUAUACUGCAAGCGGCCAAGCGAAAGCGUUAAGUAUUCCACCUGGGGAGUACGCCGGCAACGGUGAAACUCAAAGGAAUUGACGGGGGCCCGCACAAGCGGAGGAACAUGUGGUUUAAUUCGAUGAUACGCGAGGAACUCUUACCCGGGCUUAAAUUGCAGAUGAAUUACGGUGAAAGCCGUAAGCCGCAAGGCAUCUGUGAAGGUGCUGCAUGGUUGUCGUCAGCUCGUGCCGUGAGGUGUCGGCUUAAGUGCCAUAACGAGCGCAACCCUUGUUGUCAGUUACUAACAGGUUCCGCUGAGGACUCUGACAAGACUGCCAUCGUAAGAUGUGAGGAAGGUGGGGAGGACGUCAAAUCAGCACGGCCCUUACGUCCGGGGCUACACACGUGUUACAAUGGGGGGGUACAGAGGGCCGCUACCACGCGAGUGGAUGCCAAUCCCCAAAACCUCUCUCAGUUCGGACUGGAGUCUGCAAACCCGACUCCACGAAGCUGGAUUCGCUAGUAAUCGCGCAUCAGCCACGGCGCGGUGAAUACGUUCCCGGGCCUU
rnacentral:rRNA from 1 species